AACGAACGCUGGCGGCAUGCCUAACACAUGCAAGUCGAACGAGACCUUCGGGUCUAGUGGCGCACGGGUGCGUAACGCGUGGGAACCUGCCCUUAGGUUCGGAAUAACUCCCCGAAAGGGGUGCUAAUACCGGAUAACGUCUUCGGACCAAAGAUUUAUCGCCUUGGAUGGGCCCGCGUUGGAUUAGCUAGUUGGUAGGGUAAAAGCCUACCAAGGCGACGAUCCAUAGCUGGUCUGAGAGGAUGAUCAGCCACACUGGGACUGAGACACGGCCCAGACUCCUACGGGAGGCAGCAGUGGGGAAUAUUGGACAAUGGGCGAAAGCCUGAUCCAGCAAUGCCGCGUGAGUGAUGAAGGCCUUAGGGUUGUAAAGCUCUUUUACCCGGGAUGAUAAUGACAGUACCGGGAGAAUAAGCUCCGGCUAACUCCGUG
rnacentral:rRNA from 1 species